rnacentral:tRNA from 1 species
AGGUUCAUAGCUCAGUUGGUUAGAGUGUCGCACCGAGGUCACGGGUUCAAUCCUCGUUGAAGUCCU